GGGCUUUAUGCAGCUCCAGGAGCAGGUGUCACACCCAACAGUGACAUCGACACUGGCUCUGCCAAAACUGCCGAGAAGCACAAGGCUAUUUUGUAUGCAAGAGGGCCUGGUCCUUCCCAGGAUCGCCUUGCAGGCUAUACCCCAUGGACCACCCUUCACCACCAGUCAUGGGCUAUGGGCCAACUACCCCUCCUCCACCAGCUCCUCCACAUACUCUAUUUGUUAAGAUGACAUGAACUGGAUGAGUGGCUGGUAAAGUAUAUUCAUCUUCUUCAUGAUUGACUUUGUGGGAAUGAUGUAGAGAUGGCUGUGAGCCUUAGCAAUCCAACUACAAACUGCCUGAGGACACUGUAGCAUAUCUCAAGUUUCUCAGGAUAUACACACAAUGGGCAGUGUCAUGUCCCUGUAAUACGGUGAGCUAUACGUUUCUCUUGUCAAAUGAAAGAGGAUUUUUUACACAAAAGCAGACAUAUCAGCAGUACUGGUGCGUAUGUUGGAGACACAAUGUUUUGGGUUCUGUAAAGAAUGAGGCGCACCCCUAACUUUUAGAGCAUCAGGUGUCCUGUGUGAAAGAGGGACAUUCAUUAAAUGAUGCAGACUUUGUGAUCACCAUGAUGGAAACACCAGUGAAGGAUCGAGUGCAAAAACAGGGGAACCUUGAGUCAUACGGGAAUAGAAGGGAAGUUGAGCACAGUAAGCAGAGUUUGAGGGGGUGCAGAGGGGAGGGUGUUGGGGUCAGUGAGAUGCAGUUGGAGGUCAUUCCUGGCCACAGCCUGAGCAGAGAGUGUGAGGUCCACAUGGAGCUGCUAUGUGGGAUCCAAUAUGUCAGUGUGUUGCCAAAAUGCACGCAGGUAAUCAUCUAAAAAGAUUGUUGUCUCCCUGGAUUUUCCUGAAGGUUUGUGGGGGAAAAAAGCCCUGGAGAUAUGGGGAAUUUAACUUGGUCUU